rnacentral:rRNA from 1 species
CAGGAUAUGAUUUAUUACUUCUCUGCUAAAUAUUUCCCUGCUCAUAAGAAACAAGCUGCCUUGUGGGAAAUAUAUAAUUUUGUGCAAAUCAAAGAAGAGAGUCUCCCACAAGCUUGGGGGAGGCUUCUCCGGUUACUUAAUGCUUUGCCGGAUCAUCCUCUUAAGAAAAAUGAAAUACUUGAUAUCUUUUAUAAUGUACUAACCGAUGCUUCCAAGGACUACUUGGAUAGUUGUGCUGGUUGUGUUUUCAGGGAAAGAACCGUCGACGAAGCUGAAUUACUAUUGAAUAAUAUGAUGACUAAUGAAAAUAAUUGGACUCUUCCUGAGCCAAUUCCUGAACCAAUUGAGCCAACUCGUGAGCCUAUUCCUAAACCCACUCCGAAGAAGAGAGGUGUUUUAUUUCUUAGUCCUGGAGAUAUGCAAGAGGCAAAGAAAUCAAUGAAAGAAAAAGGUAUUAAAGCUGAAGAUGUUAAGAAUUUACCACCUAUUGAAGAAAUACAUGGUCUUAAUAUACCGCCUGUUGAAGAACCACAUUGUCUUGAUAACCCAACACAGGUAGUAAAGGUAAACUCUCUCUAUAGAUAUGAUAAAGUUGAAAUCCCCUCUACCAAAUUUCAUAGCCCAUGCUUAGACGAAUUUGAUGACUUUAUGGCUAGACAAGAAAGUUUUAAUGAU